GAAACUAGGAUUNGAUACCCUAUUAUUUUAAAUUGUAAAUUGAUUUUUUUCUACCAAAGUAUUAUGAAUAUUGAUUUAAAAUUUAAAGGACUUGGCGGUGUCUUAGACUACUUAGGGGAACCUGUUUUUUAAUCGAUAGUCCUCGUUUUACCUUACCUUUUUUUGUUUUCAGUUUGUAUACCGUCGUCGUCAGUUAACUUUAAAAAAAAUAGAAGUUGUCUUUUUAAAUUUUAGUUUUAGAUGUCAGAUCAAGGUGCAGNNNNNNAAUAGGUUAAUAUGGGUUACAGUUAUUUAAUUAUAAUAUNNGNAAAUUUAUGAAAUUGUUUUUUGAAGGAGGA
rnacentral:rRNA from 1 species